UGGGGAAUAUUGCACAAUGGGGGAAACCCUGAUGCAGCGACGCCGCGUGGAGGAAGAAGGCCCUCGGGUUGUAAACUCCUGUCUUCGGGGACGAUAAUGACGGUACCCGAGGAGGAAGCCACGGCUAACUACGUGCCAGCAGCCGCGGUAAAACGUAGGUGGCAAGCGUUGUCCGGAAUUACUGGGUGUAAAGGGAGCGCAGGCGGAGCGGCAAGUUGGAGGUGAAACCCAUGGGCUCAACCCAUGAACUGCCUUCAAAACUGCCGGUCUUGAGUGGUGUAGAGGUAAGCGGAAUUCCCGGUGUAGCGGUGGAAUGCGUAGAUAUCGGGAGGAACACCAGUGGCGAAGCGGCUUACUGGCACUAACUGACGCUGAGGCUCGAAAGCAUGGGUAGCAAACAGGAUUAGAUACCC
rnacentral:rRNA from 1 species